GAGAAAUUUCAGCUCAAGCUCGGUGGCUAUCCCGCAGGAUACGACGCUGCGAAACACGGACCGUACGAUCCUGCUCGCUAUUACGGAAAACGUGAGUUGCUUCUUCGCGUUUGACGUA
rfam:Camponotus floridanus CamFlo_1.0_2.contig2466, whole genome shotgun sequence.